AAAAUUGCAAUUUCAAUAAUAUAUCUCAAUAGUAAUUUAAAUUUACAUCAAUUUCAAAAGAAUUUGUUAGCAUUAACUUAUGUUAAGUUCUACUCUGUUUAACACCCCCCCCCCCUUUCCCUUAUAAAAAAAAUACCUUUCACAAUUUUCUUUUUCAGAAAUAAUGCAUAUCCCAGACAAAAUUGAUAAAGAAUAAAUUAAUUUGCUUUUUAUUUCAAAUCUUUUGGGUUUGGGUUUAUUACUUGAGUAAAAAAAAAAUCCGUAUUUUUCCCGGACCGGUUUUUACUUUUAUCGGAUCAAAGUGUACUUCAUGUUUGACGUCACUGCUGCAGCAGAAGUGCUGGGUGUUGGAAAAAUCCAAGAAGCCCAAAGCUGAUAAGACUGGCGAUUGAUUCAAAAGCUGAUUGUGACAGACGAUUGCAUCAUCACAAUAUUAAAGAGACCAUUCUGUGCCACAAAGAAAUUGUUCAGGAAGGGGAGAACUGGUGGAUUUGCAUUUUUGGUACAGUUCAAAGAGAUUUUCAGAAUGGUCAAAUCAGAGGGAGGACGAAACUGAACAUAUUGAAAAGAUACAGAAGGAAAAAGAACCUGGAAAUAUAUGGAAUAAUUAUGAA